rnacentral:rRNA from 1 species
CCUACGGGUGGCAGCAGUGAGGAAUAUUGGUCAAUGGACGAGAGUCUGAACCAGCCAAGUAGCGUGAAGGAUGACUGCCCUAUGGGUUGUAAACUUCUUUUAUAUGGGAAUAAAAUGUUCCACGUGUGGGGUUUUGUAUGUACCAUAUGAAUAAGGAUCGGCUAACUCCGUGCCAGCAGACGCGGUAAUACGGAGGAUCUGAGCGUUAUCCGGAUUUAUUGGGUUUAAAGGGAGCGUAGGUGGGUUGUUAAGUCAGGUGUGAAAGUUUGCGGCUCAACCGUAAAAUUGCAGUUGAAACUGGAAGUCUUGAGUACAGUAGAGGUGGGCGGAAUUCGUGGUGUAGCGGUGAAAUGCUUAGAUAUCACGAAGAACACCGAUGGCGAAGGCAGCUUACUGGACUGCAACUGACAUUGAGGCUCGAAAGUGUGGGUAGCAAACAGGAUUAGAUACCCUUGUAGUC